rnacentral:rRNA from 1 species
GACGAACGCUGGCGGCGUGCUUAACACAUGCAAGUCGAACGGAAAGGCCCUGCUUUUGUGGGGUGCUCGAGUGGCGAACGGGUGAGUAACACGUGAGUAACCUGCCCUUGACUUUGGGAUAACUUCAGGAAACUGGGGCUAAUACCGGAUCGGAGCUCCUGCUGCAUGGUGGGGGUUGGAAAGUUUCGGCGGUUGGGGAUGGACUCGCGGCUUAUCAGCUUGUUGGUGGGGUAGUGGCUUACCAAGGCUUUGACGGGUAGCCGGCCUGAGAGGGUGACCGGCCACAUUGGGACUACGAUACGGCCCAGACUCCUACGGGAGGCAACAGUGGGGAAUAUUGCACAAUGGGCGGAAGCCUGAUGCAGCAACGCCGCGUGCGGGAUGACGGCCUUCGGGUUAUAAACCGCGUUCGCCUGUGACGAAGCGUGAGUGACGGUAAUGGGUAAAGAAGCACCGGCUAACUACGUG